rnacentral:rRNA from 1 species
UACGGAGGGUGCAAGCGUUAUCCGGCUUCACUGGGUUUAAAGGGUGCGUAGGCGGAUAGGUAAGUCCGUGGUGAAAUCCUGCAGCUUAACUGCAGAACUGCCGUGGAUACUAUCUAUCUUGAAUGUCGUGGAGGUUAGCGGAAUAUGUCAUGUAGCGGUGAAAUGCUUAGAUAUGACAUAGAACACCCAUUGCGAAGGCAGCUAACUACGCGAUAAUUGACGCUGAUGCACGAAAGCGUGGGGAUCAAACAGG